CCUGGGUCUGCAAACAUGGCUUUGUGUCUUCUCAGACUAAAAGAACAUAGCGGAGGUAAAACAGAGACCAGCAACUAAACUGGUUAAGAGCUUGGAGCAGCUACCUUGAGGUCUCUUCCAACCUAGAAAUUCUGUGAUUCUGUGUAAUUCUGUGAUAAGGAGAGGAAAGGGGUGCUCAGUUUAGAGCAGAGGGUGCAGGGGAUCCUGAGGGCUGAGGCUCAAGGAUCCUGAGGGCAGUGAAAAAGAAUACAGGACUACUGUUGGCUAAAUCCCACAGUACUGGAACCAGGGGACACUUAAGGAAAUUAGCAGGUGGGUUUGGAGUGGAUAAAAGUAAUCUCCUUAUUCAGGGAGCCUCUGUGAUGGGAGGACUGGCAGGUGUGUGGUAUCAGCAGAUAGACACAUUUGGGAAGAUAAAAGCUUGGAAUAACAGUCAACACCUGUCAGAUUAUCAGGAUUUUAAAGGACCACCUGGAACAUCAUGA
rnacentral:lncRNA from 1 species